GCGCAAGCGUUGUCCGGAAUUAUUGGGCGUAAAGAGCUCGUAGGCGGUUUGUCGCGUCUGCUGUGAAAGCCCGGGGCUUAACCCCGUGGUGUGCAGUGGGUACGGGCAGACUUGAGUGCAGUAGGGGAGACUGGAAUUCCUGGUGUAGCGGUGAAAUGCGCAGAUAUCAGGAGGAACACCGAUGGCGAAGGCAGGUCUCUGGGCUGUUACUGACGCUGAGGAGCGAAAGCAUGGGGAGCGAAC
rnacentral:rRNA from 1 species